rnacentral:rRNA from 1 species
UACGUAGGGUGCAAGCGUUGUCCGGAAUUAUUGGGCGUAAAGAGCUCGUAGGCGGUUUGUUGCGUCGGCUGUGAAAUCCCGAGGCUCAACCUCGGGUCUGCAGUCGAUACGAGCAAACUAGAGUGUUGCAGGGGAGACUGGAAUUCCCGGUGUAGCGGUGAAAUGCGCAGAUAUCGGGAGGAACACCGGUGGCGAAGGCGGUUCUCUGGGCCUGUGCUGACGCUGAGGAGCGAAAGCGUGGGGAGCGAACAGG